rnacentral:rRNA from 1 species
ACGUAGGGUGCAAGCGUUAAUCGGAAUUACUGGGCGUAAAGCGUGCGCAGGCGGCGCCGCAAGUCAGGCGUGAAAUCCCCGAGCUCAACUUGGGAAUUGCGCUUGAAACUACGGUGCUCAAGUAUGGCAGAGGGAGGUGGAAUUCCACGUGUAGCGGUGAAAUGCGUAGAGAUGUGGAGGAACACCUGUGGCGAAAGCGGCAUACUGGACCACAACUGACGCUGAGGCGCGAAAGCUAGGGGAGCAAACAGGA